rnacentral:lncRNA from 1 species
CCCAGAAGGGGUUUGUGUGCCCAAAAGGGGUCAGGGUUCUCCAAAAGGGGUCUGGGUACCCAAAAGGGGUCUGGGUACCCAGAAGGGGUUUGUGUGCCCAAAAGGGGUCUGGGUUCCCCAAAAGGGGUCUGGGUACCCAAAAGGGAUCUGGAUCACCAAAAGGGGUCCAGGUUCCUCAAAAGGGGUCCAGGUACCCAAAAGGGGGGGGGGUUGGGUCCCCAAAAGAGGUCUGGGUCACCAAAAGGGGUCUGGGUCCUCAAAAGGGGUCUAGGUCCCCAGAAGGGGUUUGCAUGCCCAAAAGGGGUCUGGGUUCCCCAAAAGGGAUCUGGGAUCACCAAAAGGGGUCAGGGUUCUCCAAAAGGGGUCUGGAUUCUGAAAGGGGGGGGGUUGGGUCCCCAAAAGAGGUCUGGGUCACCAAAAGGGGUCUGAGUGCCCAAAAGGGGUCUGGGUCCCCAGAAGGGGUUUGCAUGCCC